rnacentral:rRNA from 1 species
GACGAACGCUGGCGGCGUGCUUAACACUUGCAAGUCGAACGGAAAGGCACUGCGUUUGUGGGCUGCUCGAGUGGCGAACGGGUGAGUAACACGUGAGUAACCUGCCCUUGACUUUGGGAUAACUUCAGGAAACUGGGGCUAAUACCGGAUAGGAGCUCCUGCUGCAUGGUGGGGGGUGGAAAGUUUCGGCGGUUGGGGAUGGACGCGCGGCUUAUCAGCUUGUUGGUCGGGUAGUGGCUUACCAAGGCUUUGACGGGUAGCCGGCCUGAGAGGGUGACCGGGAACAUUGGGACUGAGAUACGGCCCAGAGUCGUACGGGAGGCAGCAGUGGCGAAUAUUGUACAAUGGGCGGAAGCCUGAUGCAGAAACGCCGCGUUCGGGAUGACGGCUUUCGGGUUGUAAAACGCUUUCGCCUGUGACGACGCGUGAGUGACGGUACUGGGUAAAGAAGCACCGGCUAACUACGUG